CCUGAGCUUCCUUCAUGUU
rnacentral:snRNA from 1 species